CAAAUCUAACUCUUGAGCAAAUACAGUACUCGAAACCAUAUUUUCAGUUCGAACCUAAGUUUCAGUCGAAUUGCAAAUAUUUGCUCCAAACAAUCUUCCGCUCAAUCCUCGUCGCCAACAAAUUCACCGACGCGGGAGAUCUAUAAACUACCGCACCACCAUAGUUGACAAUCUAGGCUUCAAAUUGGCAUGAACUUAACGCCGAUUAUAUUUUAUACACACAAAUAAUACACAAGGGGGAGUGAUCUGUGUUUCAAGUAUGGGAGUGAAAUAUGCAUUUCAGUUGAUUCUUAUGCUCGCUUUGCUUUUCAAUGUCGCUCUCUGCAAAACGAUCAAGCGUGAUGUGAAAGCUCUUAAUGAAAUUAAAGCAUCUCUUGGGUGGAGGGUGGUGUAUUCCUGGGUCGGAGAUGAUCCUUGUGGGGAUGGGGGUUUACCUCCUUGGUCUGGUGUCACUUGUACUACUCAGGGUGAUUACAGAGUAGUUACUGCAUUGGAAGUUUAUGCAGUCUCUAUUGUUGGGCCUUUUCCUACUGCAGUCACCAAUUUGUUGGAUCUUACAAGGCUGACCAAUUCCACCUCAAAUUGGGCGGUUGAUUUCAAAACAGAAUAACAAGUUCUUAGCUUUCGCUUUAUUCUUGAGUUCAAGGGUUUAUACUAUACGAGGUCUGCGAUUGGCGUGUAUCAAAACUCUUGAGCCGGUGCUUUGGUUAGGGAGGAAGAGUAUUGUCGGUCUGAUAAUUUUGAUCACUAUUUCCAAUUCAGGUAACAUUGAUCAAGGACUCACCGACCUUGCAAAUAAAUCAGGUGAGCCACUUCUUUAAACUCCAUAUCACAUGAUACGAUAUAAAGUAGUAUAGGAAUGAGUUCUUACAUAUCAUGUAAUAUCACACCAUCGUAUUUUUUAUGGUGAUUCGCAACCAAUGGAUCAUUGUUAUUUGGUUCACACAUGCAAUUGCGAGGUCUAGAAGCUAAAAUGUCAUUUGCUUAGGAUUAUGGAUUCUGGAGGUUAGGGAUCAAGAAUGUAUUGGAAUUCGCAGAGGACUUUUAGUGGAAGCAGUGAUUUGUUUGCGGACCCGUUGACUCUGUCGGGAAAUCCGGAAAUGCAAGAGGUCAGAGGAGAAUGGAGGCGAUGAUCCGAAUAAGUUUAGUCUGGGUCUUUUAGAUGUGCACGCUUUUGAUACUGAGCUUAUUCAUUCCUGAGGUGGUUUGUGUUUUUCGCAGUCACAUGCUUGCUGCACUUGGCUUUGUAGAUGUUAUUUUAUCAUGAUUGUCGAUUAGAGUCUAGGUCAUUAUUUCGAAUUAAAUUUCAGGAUGUGGUAGGUAGGUUACAAGUUAUGUCCGUUUAAUGUAAGUCUAAGUGCGGUAGUGUAUUGCUAUGCAGGAAACAACACAGUGUGUAGUUCAUAUUUUUAUCGCUGCACUAGCUCCCUCUUAUGGUGUCUAUUAAUUGACAUAUGAAUUUGUUCGAGACCAUCUUCAUCCCGGAUGCUUAAAAAGUGGCCAAGAAACCUGCAAAACAAUGCUUAUGGCAGGAGGUCUUGCUGAGUGGCAAGCUGGAUAUGCUGCUACCCUCUAGAUGUUCAAACCUGGCUUCACGGACUAUUUAGUUACAUUCCACCUGGAAAAUGGAUAGAGUCGGAGAUCAACAGCAAAUGGAAUUGUUUAAAGAACGAACAUGGCCUGAGUUUAAGGUUGGCCAUUUAUUUCAUGUUGUCUUAAACUUCAAUCGAUUUGUGGGGAAAAUCAACAUACAUUUUCGUGAGCCAUUGACCUUCAAGUUGAAGUUAAAUAGGGUUAUGGGUUAUCCCACUCAACUAUUGUACACAACUAAUGAAAUGAAGAAUGUCAUAGAGUUAGCCAACAAGGUGUUGGUGUGGUGGUAGAGCUCUUGUACCCCCUUGCCGGAGGUCGGGAGUUCGAUUCCCCACGUGUGCGUGUGUAAUCAAUUAGCAAAAAAAAAAAAGAAUGUCAUAGAGUUGGAUUUGUGCACUCUGAACAAGGCAAUGACUGUCAAGGUACCUCAUUUUACAUCAAAGAAUUUUUAUCAAUCUACUCAAGCAGUUGCAAUUCAAGAUCAGCUUAUUUGAACCUACUAAGGUGAUUUGUGCCUCUAUGUGGCAAUGGUUUUGUCAUAGCUAGCUUUGAAAAGAAUCGAGGAGAGUUGUUGCUGAGGGGAAAAAGUCAUUUGUUUUAACUUAGUCAAUUCUUACGCGGCUUAAACCUCACACAAGAGCUUCAAUCAGUUUGGUAUAUGGAGGUGAUAUUAGACCCAAUGGAGGCUUCGUAGGGCCGGUACUAGCAGUCAGGCGAAAGGCUCUUGGCAGUCGGGGAGAAGGUCGAUGAUGCUUUCAAGGUGCCUGCCAAAACUUUCGGGAAUUUAAUGGAAGCAAGGAAAGUGAAUACCAUGGUCUCUACCCUUGGCUGUAGCUCAAAGACCGAGCUGCUAAAAAAGAUGAAACUUAAACUUUGUAAUCCACAUGUUUUUUGUAAAAACAAGGCAUGUGUACAAUGGUCUCCUUCAACUGCAGGCCUCAACCUAUAUUACAUCUUAUACUGCAUUUUUACAUAUAAUUUUACAUGGUUAGAGUAU